AAGAAGGUUACUGAGUGGUCAAAAGUGAUAGACUGUAAAUUUAUUGAUUUUUAUCUUCGUGGGUUCGAAUCCCACUCUUCUUA
rnacentral:tRNA from 1 species